UACAGAGGUCUCAAGCGUUGUUCGGAUUCAUUGGGCGUAAAGGGUGCGUAGGUGGCGCGGUAAGUCGGGUGUGAAAUCUCGGAGCUUAACUCCGAAAUUGCAUUCGAUACUGCCGUGCUCGAGGACUGGAGAGGAGACUGGAAUUCAUGGUGUAGCAGUGAAAUGCGUAGAGAUCAUGAGGGAGACCAGUGGCGAAGGCGGGUCUCUGGGCCGAUACUGACGCUGAGGAGCGAAAGCGUGGGGAGCGAACAGG
rnacentral:rRNA from 1 species